GACGAACGCUGGCGGCGUGCUUAACACAUGCAAGUCGAACGGAAAGGCCCUGCUUUUGUGGGGUGCUCGAGUGGCGAACGGGUGAGUAACACGUGAGUAACCUGCCCUUGACUUUGGGAUAACUUCAGGAAACUGGGGCUAAUACCGGAUAGGAGCUCCUGCUGCAUGGUGGGGGUGGGAAAGUUUCGGCGGUUGGGGAUGGACUCGCGGCUUAUCAGCUUGUUGGUGGGGUAGUGGCUUACCAAGGCUUUGACGGGUAGCCGGCCUGGGAGGGUGACCGGCCACAUUGGGACUGCGAUACGGACCAGACUCCUACGUGAGGCAGCAGUGGGGAAUAUUGCACAAUGGGCGGAAGCCUGAUGCAGCAACGCCGCGUGCGGGAUGACGGCCUUCGGGUUGUAAACCGCUUUCGCCUGUGACGAAGCGUGAGUGACGGUAAUGGGUAAAGAAGCACCGGCUAACUACGUG
rnacentral:rRNA from 1 species